UUUAUUAUAUAUAUGCAUGUUAAUUCAUUAGCUUUUAGAAAUUUAUGUAUUAUAUGUUUGUUUCUAAUAUAUUUUAAUAUUAUGUUUGGUAGCAUAAUUAGAGAAGAAUUUCUUAGAUACAGUUUUUUUGGAAAAAUAAAAUAUAAAUUUAAAACAAAAUAUUAGAAGAAACUCAAUCCACUCAAGCAAAAUCCUUAAUUUUGUUCUACUAAAAUCAUGAAAUCAAUAUUUUUUUCGUUUUUAAUUACUCCAUCUGCGCUCCCUAUUAUAAGAAAAAAAAUCAAAGAGUAAAUUACUUCAUCCAGAUGAGGAAUGCUAAGGACACACCUUCUAACACACUCUAUUGGACACACUCCAAUUAAUCAAUGCCACAUGACUUCUUUUUUAAAUGUUUACCUUUUAACUGGUUCUUCAAGUUGGAGAGAGAUUUUUUAAUUUUUAUUUAUUUUAUAUUAUUAUUUGGGUUGAAUUUCUCAUCUUCCACGUUCAUCCACUGCUCCAAAAUUGUAUCAGGUCAUCAUCAUCUUUUGUUUUCGACAUAAAAUUGUAUAAGCUUGUCCCUUUGUUGCUCAAUUCCAUCGUUAAUAAUACAAUAUUGGAAAAUAAUUUUAACAUUAAAUCCUUCUUUUGUAGAGUACAACAAAGGAGAAGUUUUCAAUCUGAACAACCCCAAAUCUGCAACGUGAACAACCUGUCCUCAAAUUGAAAUUCCUUGGUGAGAAAAUAAUAAGCUCCAAUUGUAGCCUUGCAGUGAUUAAUCGAUUCACAAACGGAGAGACUGUAUGUGGAAGAUGAUGACUUGAUGCAGGAUUUGGUCUUUUGGAACGGAGAGACCGUAUGUCGAAGAUGAAAAGUUGAACUCAAAUAAUAAUAAAAAAGAAACAAAAAUCUCUCUCCAACUUGGAGAACCAGUUAGAAGGUAAAAAUUAAAAGAAUAGGUGAAGUGGCAUUAAUCGAUUCGAGUGUGUCUAAUAGAGUGUCUUAGAGCACCAUUAUCCCAAAACUCAA